rnacentral:rRNA from 1 species
GCGUUAUCCGGAUUUAUAGGUUUAAAGGGUUCGCAGGCGGAAUUUAAGUCAGUGUGAAAGCCUAUAGCUCAACUAUAGAACUGCCACUGAUACUGAUAUUCUUGAGUAUAGAUGAAGUGGGCGGAAUAUGUCAUGUAGCGGUGAAAUGCAUAGAUAUGACAUGGAACACCAAUUGCGAAGGCAGCUCACUAAACUAUUACUGACGCUCAUGAACGAAAGCAUGGGGAGCGAACAGGAUUAGAUACCCUGGUAGUCCAUGCUGUAAACUAUGAUCACUAGAUGUUGGCGAUAUACUGUCAGUGUUUAAGAGAAAUCGUUAAGUGAUCCACCUGGGGAGUACGUUCGCAAGAAUGAAGCUCAAAGGAAUUGACGGGGGCCCGCACAAGCGGAGGAACAUGUGGUUUAAUUCGAUGAUACGCGAGGAACCUUACCAAGACUUAAAUGUAGAUUGACAGAUUGUGAAAAUAGUUUUUCUUCGGACAAUUUACAAGGUGCUGCAUGGUUGUCGUCAGCUCGUGCCGUGAGGUGUCGGGUUAAGUCCCAUAACGAGCGCAACCCCUAUUUUUAGUUACCAGCGAGUAAUGUCGGGAACUCUAGAAAGACUGCCUGUGUAAACAGUGAGGAAGGUGGGGAUGACGUCAAAUCAUCACGGCCCUUAUGUCUUGGGCUACACACGUGUUACAAUGGUUACUACAGUGGGCUGCCAUCUGGCAACAGAGAGCAAAUCCAUAAAGGUAAUCCCAGUUCGGAUCGGAGUCUGCAACUCGACUCUGUGAAGUUGGAUUCGCUAGUAAUCGUAUAUCAGCAAUGAUACGGUGAAUACGUUCCCGGGCCUUGUACACACCGCCCGUCAAGCCAUGGAAGUUUGUGGUGCCUGAAGUCAGUAGCCGAAAGGAGCUGCCUAGGGUAAAACAAAUAACUAGGGCUAGUCGUAACAAGGUUGCCGU